AUGAAUCUUUAGAUAUAAUUAUACAAAAGUAGAUUAAAGGAGGUGGGGCUGUUGAGAUGAACAAAAACGAAACUAGUUUACAUGAGGAUUCAUUCAAUGAUUUGGGAAAAGGAUAUUUAGGGUGAAAGAGAAUAGUUUUAUACAAUUUGGAUUUUUAGGUCAGGUUGAAUUAUGUCGAAUCAGGUUAAGUGGAAAAAUAAAAAAUAAGAGCCAACAUGGUUUUAUAUUAGGUCUCUUUUCUGACCCCGACCUAACCCAUAGAUCUUCAAAUCGGUUGAGUUCUUUCCAUUUGAAGCCCUAUGUGCGUGGAAGAGAACCUUGCACCCUAGACACUCAAUUGCAUCUUAUCCCAUUAGCCUGUUCAACAACUAUUCAGUACCAGCAUAAGUACUCAGAUCUUAACGUACUCAAAUUGGCGGACCAUGAGGUGCCAGCACUAGCACGCUGUUAUGAGGGCCAUUAUGAGCCGGUGAGCCCUUUUUAGCUUAAGCCUUUUUUUUUUUUUUUUGCUUAAUAGGCCUCUCCUAUAGUUACCUGGAGCAGACCUAUUGAGGUCCUAUGCUACUAAGUUUGGUCAAGCUUCCCACGCAAUCGUGCUCCUAAGAGGAGGAUCGAACCAACUUGGAUUUGUUGUACCUCGGCGAAAAUCUCACAAUAGAUGUGCCCAAAGAGGGCUAUAUCUCAGCUGACUGGUGCACCGUAUACGUUGUGGAUCUUUACACGCACAUGCUGGGAGGCCAUUAUGAGGCACAACAGGCCAUCAUUUAUUGUGAGAGCCAUUGAGGCCUUUGUGAGCCUCUCAUUCACCAAUGACCAGCUGUUCCUUUUUCUUUUGGGAAAUUACGGAUUACCCAAGGCACAAUUUCACCAAGCCACAUGGGGUUCAAAGGUAGUACUUAAUCUACCAGAGGUCAGAUUCGUCAGCUUCCAUCGUGCUCCAUUACACAUCCUCUUCAACCAUCCAUCAUAGGUACAUACAGGUCUUUUUAUAUUUCCUCUCUUUUCCAUCCAACAACUCCUCUCUCCUCUCUCCUCUCUCCUCUCUCCUCUUAUAAACUCUCUCCUCCCUCCCUUCAACAACGCAUCCAUUCAGCCUUAUCCCAUCUAGCGAGUGGAAAAGGAUCGCCUCACCAUUUCCCAUUCUUCACUAAAUAGAGAAAGAAAUAAACAAAAGGAUAUUAUGCAUGUGGGAGAGUUUGCAAUGGCUACUUCGAGUGGCAUAGAGUACUUCAAGAUCGAUGUGGAGGCGGCCAUGGGGCACUUCUCAUGGCUCUCCAACGGGGCACUUCUCAUGGCUCUCCAAUGCAAACAUCGUGGAGGACAAAGGAAGCUCCUAUAUAUGGGCCACCAUUGAUGUGGAAAUUUCUUUUACACAUUUUUUUAGUCUUAAUUGUUUUGUUUUUGAGUGUUUUGUAUGUUCUUAGCUCAUUUGUCUAGAAUUUAGGUGUCUUUUACAUUUAUUUAAUUCUUGAAAAUUCUUGGUAUUUUGCAGGUGUUUAAUUAUUGAAUUCGGUUGAAAUUGGGCUGGUCUAGUCAACUCAGAACACUGUUCGGUUUUUAGAUUCUAACUGGAGCUACAGACCUCCUUUUUAUAUAUUGUUUAUCUUACUGCAAAGAUAAGAUGUAGACCUAAAACUUUUAUGAUCACAAAACCAAGUUCUACCGUUUUGAAGUCCAAAACAUGACCGAAAUGGAGAAGUCCAAAUCUGUCCAGAAUUUUACUGCGGCCCAAACCCUAUUUCGGUUUUUAGCUUGUAUGUGGAGUUAUAUAAGUCAGAAUAAUGUAAACCUAGGUGCAUUGGAAAGAUGAGAACGAGAUCUAAAAUUUUCGUGAAGGGUCCAACUCCAAAGUAUAUCAUUUUGGUGCUCUACAUCCAGCUGGGAGUUGCAUCUAAAAAUCAGCCUAGAAUUCCGGAUUUCAGCUAGCAGAUAGGAAGGAAAUCUGUUUUAAAAUUCAAAAAAAGAAAUUCCGAUAAGAGGAGGGGGCCAGCAGAUACGAAGAGGAGGACAAGCAGAUAAAAAAAAUGCAGAAAAUCUGAAAUUCUGAGAGGAGGAAAAGCUAGAAAAUCCGAGAGGAAGAAAAAACUGAAAUUAUGGGAGAAAGAACGGAACAGAGAAUUUUUGCAAAUACAGAGU